rnacentral:tRNA from 1 species
GUCUGUAUAGCUCAGUUGGUAAAGAAUCUGCUUGUAGUGCAGGAGACCCUGGUUUGAUUCCUGGGUCGGGACA